rnacentral:rRNA from 1 species
UGGCGAACGGGUGAGUAACACGUGGGCAAUCUGCCCUGCACUCUGGGACAAGCCCUGGAAACGGGGUCUAAUACCGGAUACUGACCCGUUUGGGCAUCCGAGCGGUUCGAAAGCUCCGGCGGUGCAGGAUGAGCCCGCGGCCUAUCAGCUUGUUGGUGAGGUAAUGGCUCACCAAGGCGACGACGGGUAGCCGGCCUGAGAGGGCGACCGGCCACACUGGGACUGAGACACGGCCCAGACUCCUACGGGAGGCAGCAGUGGGGAAUAUUGCACAAUGGGCGAAAGCCUGAUGCAGCGACGCCGCGUGAGGGAUGACGGCCUUCGGGUUGUAAACCUCUUUCAGCAGGGAAGAAGCGAAAGUGACGGUACCUGCAGAAGAAGCGCCGGCUAACUACGUGCCAGCAGCCGCGGUAAUACGUAGGGCGCAAGCGUUGUCCGGAAUUAUUGGGCGUAAAGAGCUCGUAGGCGGCUUGUCACGUC